rnacentral:rRNA from 1 species
AGCUGCAGAAGAAGCACCGGCUAACUCCGUGCCAGCAGCCGCGGUAAUACGGAGGGUGCGAGCGUUAAUCGGAAUUACUGGGCGUAAAGCGCAUGCAGGUGGUUUUGUUAAGUCAGAUGUGAAAGCCCGGGGCUCAACCUCGGAAUUGCAUUUGAAACUGGCAGACUAGAGUACUGUAGAGGGGGUAGAAUUUCAGGUGUAGCGGUGAAAAUGCGUAGAGAUCUGAAGGAAUACCGGUGGCGAAGGCGGCCCCCUGGACAGAUACUGACACUCAGAUGCGAAAGCGUGGGGAGCAAACAGGAUUAGAUACCCUGGUAG